UUUGAUUAGGAAUUCGCUACUUUAGAAGCAAGUAUUGGGUUUCACACUGAUUGUGGCUUCUCUUACAUCCAUUCACGUCUUCCUGGUCAUCUAGGAGAAUUCUUGGCUUUAAGUGGGGAAAGAUUGAAUGGCAAAGAACUUGUAGCAGUUGGCAUGGCAAUACAUUUUGUACCUUCUGCUGUGAGUUUUUUCUUUUUUUAAUGCUUUUCCUUAGUUAGAAGUAUCAUGUAAUGUGACCUCUCUUACUUGAGCUGCCUUCCUACUUGUAUUAUUAUAUACAGCAUCUGCAACUUUAGUAAUGUUUUGAAACCUAUA